rnacentral:lncRNA from 1 species
UGGAGACAUCAAUGGGUUAAACUUUUUUUUUUGUGGCGGGGAUGGCAGCCAGGGCCUCGCACACACUAGCUCUGCCACUGGCCCACACCCUAAAUGGAGCUCAACAGGAAAAGGAGCCACAGGCUCACAGACAACAUUCGAGAAUUUCACAGUGACAGCCCGGCCCACCCUGACUGCACGUGGGUGCGGUCACAUGACUGAGCUUAAGUGUAGACGGCCAUGAACAAAGGAGCAGGCGAGAGUCCCCAAGCUGAAGCAAGCGAGAGGACUGGGGACCGCAGCCCACAAAUCCUCCCCCCACCCCCAGCACAGCCAGGCCCUGAAGGGCAGCCUGGCUCAUCCACGGCCCAUUCGUCCAUGGCUCACCAGAUUACUUCUUGUCACUGUACUCAUGAGAGUGACAGAGAGAAUCCCGGGGGACUGGGGUGAGUGUCUCAGGAGAACUGGAAACUUUCUUCCUGUCACGGAACAAGGCCUUACUGUCUGCUGGCUCCGGGCACCCUCGUGGAGACUCAGACAGAAGAGGCUCUGGCGACAGGAGUGGUGGACGUGGUAGCAGGAGUGGUGGGCGGGCUGGCCAGGGUCCUCUCACCACCAUAGGUUGGGCGGUUCCUCAGCCACACGGCUUUUGAACAAGGUGAUCUCAUCCAGGUGCAGCAUGGGGACAUCUCGGAUGACAUCUGUCAGGCCCUCGUGGAGCAGGGGGAAGAUGACGACGUUCAACGCGGGCCUCUCGGCCUGGAAACUGAACCAGAGGUCAGCCGUUAACGGGGUGUGAGCUGAGGACACAGCUGGGAAGGCACAGUGCUCCGUGAGCCACGGGAGACCUGGGGGCUCAGUGUCCAGCACGGAUGCCCACUCUACUCUAAGCCAUCCGAUUCCCCGAGCCAGAAAGCACAACAGCGGUCCGGGGCCUGAGGCCGGACUGCAGGGUUUUAGCACCUAGAAGCACAGAGCUGCUCUGAGAAAGUACCUGGGUUAUGAUGCUCACCGCUGUCCAGUCCCAGGAGCUCCAACUCCCUCCUCUGAACCUCUGCCCACACCUAGUACACACAUGAUGCACAGACAUACAUAAAGGCAAAACACUCGUGCAUAUAAAAUAAAUCUAU